UACGUAGGGUGCGAGCGUUAAUCGGAAUUACUGGGCGUAAAGCGUGCGCAGGCGGUUCGUUAAGACAGAUGUGAAAUCCCCGGGCUUAACCUGGGAACUGCAUUUGUGACUGGCGAGCUAGAGUAUGGCAGAGGGGGUAGAAUUCCACGUGUAGCAGUGAAAUGCGUAGAGAUGUGGAGGAAUACCGAUGGCGAAGGCAGCCCCCUGGGCCAAUACUGACGCUCAUGCACGAAAGCGUGGGGAGCAAACAGG
rnacentral:rRNA from 1 species